GAACUGCGGAAGGAUCAUUAUCGUACCAACCGAGGCGCUAGGUCGGCUGUCGCUGACUUUUGAAAAGGUCGUGCACGCCCCUGCGCUCUCACACAUCCCAUCUCACCCCUUUUGUGCAUCACCGCGUGGGCCGUCUUUUUCCAAAGAGGGUUCGCGUUUUUAACACAAACACCUUUGUUUUAAUGCAUGUGUAGAAUGUCCUUACUUUUUGCGAUAAUAUGCAAUCAAUACAACUUUCAACAACGGAUCUCUUGGCUCUCGCAUCGAUGAAGAACGCAGCGAAAUGCGAUACGUAAUGUGAAUUGCAGAAUUCAGUGAAUCAUCGAAUCUUUGAACGCACCUUGCGCCCCUUGGUAUUCCGAGGGGCACACCCGUUUGAGUGUCGUGAACAUCCUCAACCUUCUUGGUUUCUUAUACGAGACCAGGAAGGCUUGGAUUUUGGGGGUUUUUGUGCUGGCGUCCUUCGAUGCCAGCUCCUCCUAAAUGGAUUAGUAGGGUCUGCCUUGCCNAAUCCUUGACGUGAUAAGAUGUUUCUACGUCUUGGCUUGCGCACAGUCGCUUUUUAGACUCUGCUUCUAACAGUCUUUCCUAAAAGACAAUGACACAAAACCUUGACCUCAAAUCGGGUGAGACUACCCGCUGAACUUAAGCAUAUCAAUAAGCGGAGGAAAAGAAACUAACAAGGAUUCCCCUAGUAACUGCGAGUGAAGCGGGAAAAGCUCAAAUUUAAAAUCUGGUGGUCUCUGGCCACC
rnacentral:rRNA from 1 species